rnacentral:rRNA from 1 species
UACGUAGGUGGCAAGCGUUGUCCGGAUUUACUGGCGUAAAGCGUAUGCAGGCGGGAUCUUAAGUAGGAAGUGAAAGGUUGGAGCUUAACUCUAACACUGCUCCCUAUACUGGGAUUCUUGAGUGCCGGAGAGGAAGACGGAACGACACGUGUAGCGGUGAAAUGCGUUGAGAUGUGUCGGAACACCAAUGGCGAAAGCAGUCUUCUGGACGGAUACUGACGCUGAGAUACGAAAGCCAAGGUAGCAAACAGG